rnacentral:tRNA from 1 species
GGGCAGGUGGCAGAGUGGUUGAAUGCACCGGUCUUGAAAACCGGCGGACCCUCGCGGGUCUCGUGGGUUCGAAUCCCACCCUGCCCG